UGAAGAAAAAUGGACAAGAGAGACAUGAGAUUGGACCAGAUGGCAGGAGUAUAGAUACCAGGUUACCCACCGUCACCCAUGAUCUGGAAGCAAAUAAUCCUCUUUGUGACAUAUCAUCAGAAAGUCAAUAGUAACCUAACACUAGGUCACAAUGCCGACGUCAUUCACCUCAUUUCCUCUCAUCACUGGGCAUUUUUAUCAUCACACCUCAUCACAAGAAGGUCUCUGAGGAAAAAGGCAUUAUGGUGCCUCACCCCCUUUGAUCUGAGAAAACAGGAAGGAAUUGAGAUCUUCAAAAGCCCAUUAACCAGGCCACCAGCGUGACCUGGCUUCCAGGUCUUGCCGUCAGCUGGUACUAUCAGCAAUGAUUAAACAUAAGCAAGCAUUGUGAUUCAUCAAGAACUGAUAGACUCAUCACUGAUGUAAACAUUCUUUAGUCUCAAGGUCAGACCAGGAGUCACUAAUAGAAAAUUCUCCCAUGAAAACAAUGCAAAAGCUUUCUCCAGAGUGUAAAAGAGUCCCCAAAAGAUGGUAGAAGAAUUUGAAAAGAAUAGCCCCUAAGGAGUGGAGGGGAAGGGCGGAGAGAGAGAGAGGAAGAAAGAGAAUCC